UACGUAGGGUGCAAGCGUUGUUCGGAAUUACUGGGCGUAAAGGGCUCGUAGGUGGCCAACUAAGUCAGACGUGAAAUCCCUCGGCUUAACCGGGGAACUGCGUCUGAUACUGGAUGGCUUGAGUUCGGGAGAGGGAUGCGGAAUUCCAGGUGUAGCGGUGAAAUGCGUAGAUAUCUGGAGGAACACCGGUGGCGAAGGCGGCAUCCUGGACCGACACUGACACUGAGGAGCGAAAGCCAGGGGAGCAAACGGG
rnacentral:rRNA from 1 species